CCUGCACUCUGCUAAAGGUGCAAAGCGACUGGAUCGGACACGAUGUGAAGGUAAUGACAUCGUGGAGAGGCGCAGCCGGCGAACGGGCAGCGGGGUAGUGCACGCUGUAACCCGGCCCAAGAUGGCGGCAAAGAGGCGGAGGAUACGGUCAAGCGGAGAGGCGGGGCGUGCUGGGAGCAACGCCUUGAUCGAGUUCAGGUUCAGAGAAUCUGGAGAAAUCACUCCAUGGCCGGAAACCAACAUUGAAUGACCGUGACCUUCCAUCCCUCAGACGGCACUGUAUCAAAAACCGACAUCAAUCUCUAAAGGAUAUCACCACAUGGGCUCAGGAACACUUCAGAAAACCACUGUCACUAAACACAGUUUGUCGCUACAUCUGUAAGUGCAAGUUAAAGCUCUACUAUGCAAAGCGAAAGCCAUUUAUCAACAACAUCCAGAAACGCCGCCGGCUUCUCUCGGCCCGAAGUCAUCUAAUAUGGACUGAUGCAAAGUGGAAAAGUUUUCUGUGGUCUAAAGAGUCCACAUUUCAAAUUGUUUUUGGAAAUAUUCGACAUGGUGUCAUCCGGACCAAAGGGGAAGCGAACCAUCCAGACUGUUAUCGAUGCAAAGUUCAAAAGCCAGCAUGUGUGAUGGUAUGGGGGUGCAUUAGUGCCCAAGGCAUGGGUAACUUACACAUGUGUGAUGGUAUGGGGGUGUAUUAGUGCCCAAGACAUGGGUAACUUACACAUGUGUGAUGGUAUGGGGGUGCAUUAGUGCCCAAGGCAUGGGUAACUUACACAUCUGUGAAGGCACCAUUAAUGCUGAAAGGUAGAUACAGGUUUUGGAACAACAUAUGCUGCCAUCUAAGCGCCGUCUUUUUCAUGGACGCCCCUGCUUAUUUCAGCAAGACAAUGCCAAGCCACAUUCAGCACAUGUUACAACUGCGUGGCUUCAUAAAAAAACAGUGCGGGUACUUUCCUGGCCCACCUGCAGUCCAGACCUGUCUCCCAUGGAAAAUGUGUGGCGCAUUAUGAAGCGUAAAAUAGUGUUGUUAAAAGAAAAGGUGAUGUAACACAGUGGUGAACAUGCCCUUUCCCAACUACUUUGGCACAUGUU